CCAGCCGCAGCACGGCCGAAAGAAGAAGAGCAAGCCGGCACCGGCACGGAAGAGAAAAGAUUUCGCUGCGCGUGUCCUGACCCGGCUGGAGAAGGAUAAAAGUGCAUUCUUCACCAUCACGCUGAUUUCUUCAGAAAAGGUUGCCAACCUUAAACCCAUGCCGGAGGAUGUGGCCGAGCAGCAAAGCGGCCAUGUGAUGGAGAGUCGGGAUUCAAUUCUUGCGUACUUUCGUAAGAAUCAUCUCGAGUUUACAACUUUGCGGCACGCGCAGUACGCUACACUGUGCAUGCUCGUCGAGCUGCAAAGCCAGUCAAUGUAAUCGGCUACCGCUGCAAUACCUGCAUGGCUGAAAUUAUUGGAAGUCGUUUCCAUUGCCCAGUGUGUGACGAUAUUCACCAGUCCACACUUCAAGAUCAAGUCAGCGUACCGACCGGUAUGUCAUACUUUGAGGGUGAUUACUGGCCUAAAGUGUUUGAGAAGAUCGCCCAGGAGGAAAAAGCGGAGAAGAUCGCAGCUGAG